AUUAUUAAAAUAUAAAAAAUAAUUUUAGAUUAGUAUUAAAUAUAUUUAUGAAAUUAAAAUAAUUUGGCGGUGUUUUAGUCUAUUCAGAGGAAUUUGUUUUAUAAUUGAUAAUCCUCAUUAAAUCUUACUUACUUUUAUUAAUUUGUAUAUCGUUGUCAUUAGAAUAUUUUAUAAGAAAAAUAAAUUUCUUAAAUUAAUAUAAAAUUUUAUGUCAAAUCAAGGUGCAGUAUAUAUGUAAGCAAAAAUGAAUUACAAUAAUAUAUAAUUAAAUGGAUUAGAAAUUGAAAUAUUUUUAUGAAGGUGGAUUUGAUUGUAAAUUUAAUAAGUAAAUUAAAUUGAUUAUAGCUCUAAAAUAUGUAC
rnacentral:rRNA from 1 species